rnacentral:rRNA from 1 species
CCCAAAGUAACGGCGAGUGAACUGGGAAAAGCCCAGCGCUGAAUCUUUCGAUGUUACAUCGUAAAGAAAUGUAGCGUAUAGGUAUAAUUGUCGGUGUAUUUGGCAUAUCCAAAGUUCCUUUGAUAGGGGCCAUAUUCCAUAGAGGGUGCGAGACCUGUUCGGAUAGUGGAAUAUGCCGUAUGAUUAUACCUUGGAGUCGGGUUGCUUGAAAAUGCAGCCUUAAGUGGGUGAUAAACUUCAUCUAAGGCUAAAUACGGACGCGAAUUCGAUAGCAAACAAGUACUGUGAAGGAAAGUUGCAAAGAACUUUGAAGAGAGAGUUCAAGAGAACGUGAAAUCGUUGAAGUGGAACCGGAAAGAGUUGACGUAGUCUGGUGAAUAAGUAUUACAAUAAUCACAUUAAAAUUAUGAUUGAGUAAUAUGUAUGUCACUAAUGACUGCUCUGACAUCAUCGACUACACAAUCUAAAUCAUAUUUAUAUGUUGCCUACUCUAUAUUAUAUAGAGCGGUGCCUUAUGUUAUUUGAUUAUAAGUUUGUUGUAUGUUGAUGUUGAUAACGAUAAUUAUACAAUAUAUGUAUAAUUGUGUCAGUGUAAAAGUCAACCACCUUUCCGACCCGUCUUGAAACACGGACCGAGGAGUGUAAUUUGUACGCAAGUCAAUAGGUGAAAAACCUUAAGGCGAAAUGAAAGUGAAGGCAUGGUUAACCAGCUGACAUGGGAAACGUCCGAUAUUAUUUGCAAGACGUUACACCAUGGCCCUGUCUUGUCUGCAUGCAGAUGGGCAGCGGUAGAGCGUACAGGUUGCGACCCGAAAGAUGGUGAACUAUGCCUGAGCAGGAUGAAGUCAGAGGAAACUCUGAUGGAAGUCCGUAUCGGUUCUGACGUGCAAAUCGAUCGAUAGACUUGGGUAUAGGGGCGAAAGACUAA